CAGCCAGCAGCAUGGCAAGACUUUUUUAAAAUAAAAUUGCUGGUCAUUGCUUUUACUGCAACACCAAUAACAGCAUCAAUAAAUACUAUGUUAUAAACGACCGAAAAAGCGACAAAAAAAAAAAAGAAGAAGAAAGGAAAUGUAAUAAAAAAAGAAAAACUUUUCUACUCUUGGAUGUCAUAAAUCUUGGAGGCCGCAACAUAAAGCUACAAAAUAACAAAAAUGACAAAAUAGCAAAAAAAAAAAAAAAGAAUAUAUAUAUAAAAAAAAGAAAAUAAAACAAAAAAAAUAAAAUACUCUUUGAAUAGAAAUGUGUUUAUCAAGCCUAUAGAGUGACAGCAGCACACAAAAUGUAACCAUAGAUAUGCAGACUUAGUGAAGUUGUGCAUGCAUGGACAUGAGAUGUUCAAGGCUAGGUACAACAUAUAAAUGACAUGAGCAAUGUUCAGAGUUAUGGUGUGAUUUUUAUGUUUCAUGUUUGCCAAAAACACGCGCAUAUGCACAGGCACACACACAUAUGUAUAUAUAUAUGCAUAUAUCUGUAUAUAUAUAUAUAUAUAUAUAUAUAUAUAUAUACACUUAUUACGCACUCUAGCACAUAAAGUGAUUUAUAACUCUAAUAUUGUUACUGACAUUGUGUCACUAGUGUCUCUGUGCUGAACAAGUGUAUGUGUUGCGUGUAUAUAUAUAUAUAUAUAUAUAUAUAUGUGUGUGUGUGUGUGUGUUUGAGUAUUUGUGUAUGAGUGUAGAUAUGUUUUAUUGUGGUCUAUAUGCUUCGAUAUGUAUAUGCGUUUGUGUGGACUGUACAGCAGACCAAGCAGCAACACUUCAAAUGACUCGCUGGCCGGCUGGCUGGUUGGAUGACUGGCUAGCUGGCUGGCUGGCUGGCUGGCUGAUUAAGUGAAUUGUGAAAGUGUUGUUGGUAUAAAAGUGUUCUUAUUUAUUUAUUUAUUUAUUUAUUAUUAUUUAUUGUUACCUUUUUUUUCGAAAGACUGUUGAAAUGACAUUGAAGCGUUAUGUGUGAACUUGGUCUAAAAACUCUAAAACCUAUAAUUGACAUGUCUUUGAAUAAUAAAACUCAACUAAACAAAAUACACACAAACACACAGCACGGACAACUUCUUUUCAUAAAAAUCUUUGUAUGCACGUACUUAUGGAUAAAAGCAAGUAAUUGUAAGUCUAAGUAUGUGUUUGUAAACCACACACACCAGUUUUUUUUUUUUUUUUUUUUUUUUUUACCGCUUGGUUAUCUGUUAAAAACCAUCUACAAUUAAUCUCAAUGGUCAAGCUGUGCUGCUAUCUAACACAUUUUCAAACAACCACUAAAAUCAAACCAAAAACUAAACCAAAUCGAAAAAACAGAAGAAAAAAACAAAACAAAAAAAAAAAAAAAAAAAAAAAUAUGAAACGACAGCGUCAACAACACAACCUGACUGAGCUUCGCUGACUGGCCAGAGCUUGAAGAGAUGUAUUGAAAUUUGCGCUUUAUUUAGAAAAAGAUCUAUGAAUGUUGUGUUUUCAAAUUGACAUUUCCACGAACGGUAAGUUGUACUUCUUACGAAUUUAUUUAGAAAGCGACCCUUGUCAUUUGCUUGUCUCUAGUAAGGAGGUAGGUUAUAGGUGCGCACACACUCACACGAUGAUAUAUAAAAAAGAAAAGCAAGAAUAUGAAAUAGUAAGGCGAAAAAAAUAAAAAUUAAAAAAAAAA